rnacentral:tRNA from 1 species
GGCGAGAUGGCCGAGCGGUCUAAGGCGCUACGUUAAGGUUCAUCUUAAUCAAUUCCGUAGUCCGAAAGGGCGUGGGUUCGAAUCCCACUCUCGUCA